rnacentral:rRNA from 1 species
CCUACGGGUGGCUGCAGUCGAGAAUCAUUCACAAUGGGGGAAACCCUGAUGGUGCGACGCCGCGUGGGGGAAUGAAGGUCUUCGGAUUGUACACCCCUGUCAUGUGGGAGCAAAUUAAAAAGAUCGUACCACCAGAGGAAGAGCCGGCUAACUCUGUGCCAGCAGCCGCGGUAAUACAGGGGGUGCAAGCGUUGUCCGGAAUCAUUGGGCGUAAAGAGUUCGUAGGCGGCACGUAAAGUCUGGUGUUAAAGGCAGAGGGUCAACUUCUGUACGGCACUGGAUACUUGCGAGCUAGAAUGCGGUAGAGGUAAAGGGAAUUCCUGGUGUAGCGGUGAAAUGCUUAGAUAUCAGGAGGAACAUCGGUGGCGUAAGCGCUUUACUGGGCCGUAAUUGACGCUGAGGAACGAAAGCCAGGGUAGCAAAUGGGAUUAGAUACCCUUGUAGUC